UCGUGCGACUUCUUCAUUGAUAUCAUCGGCUUCAACACCCGCGCCGUUAGUUCUGCUUUCUCCAGACUGGACAAGGAAGCAAAACAAAUCGGUCUGGCAGUGAACGAGGGCAAGGAGAAAUAUCUCCUGUCAUCAAACAAACAGUCGUCGCACUCGCGACUUGGCACUCACGUCACAGUUGACAGUCAUAACUUUGAAGUUGUAGAUAAUUUCGUCUAUCUUGGAACCAGCGUAAACACCACCAUGUACUUCCGACUGAGUAGGCAAUUAAAAAGCAGAGUCCUCUCUCGACGAACAGAAGCCAAACUCUGUAAGUCACUCAUAAUUCCCGUUCUGCAAUAUGGUGCAGAGGCUUGGACGAUAGCAACAACGAGUUGCGAGAUUUUGAGAGAAAAGUUUUAUAGUCCUAAAGUACCAAUUUAAUGGCUAUACACUUACCUUUACUUCUAAUUACAACUACUUCAUGCUUUCUUAAUUAUAAUCUUAGCUUUCAAUUUUUUACUUAUAUCUCAAUUGCUCUUUACACGGCAGCACUCUAACUAGAAUUGAAUCCGGCAGCCCUUAUAUAGUAGAUCGCUAACGAAGCCACCAUUCGAACGUUCUGGCAACUACAAAUUUCGCGCCUGGACGAUUCCAUCAAUUUAUCGUCGAUUCUAUUCUGUUCUGGCCUAAAUGUAAAUAAAGGUCCAUUCACAUAUAAUUUUUCUCACUUUGUGUGAUGUGCUGAACACAAUGAUCGCGACAGACUGCAAACGACAUCUGUUAAAUAUUGAAACACACACGUUCUUAUGGACACAGUUAUUUUGACAGCUGCACGACUACACGACUGCAGGCCGACACUUGUCGCUCUCGCUAACUUCAAUUCUUAUAUUUGCCAAAGACGGUAGGACGAUAGUAGAGUUGAAUGUAGAGAGAUGAGGUAGAGUGGUGAUGCCACAUAUGUAAAAUUAUUCACAGUUCUAACUAACUUGACGUUAUUUUACAAAUAAAAGCAUAAAAUAGCUCUAUUAUAGCUCUAUUAUAUCAUUUGUAAUAACAAUUGAUAAUUUAAAACAAAAAUAUUUACCUUUUUACUUAUUUUUUGCAUAAAAAAUUUCACUAUGAACAAAAUAUAAAAAUUUAAUUGAAGUGAAAGAUAUUAGUAUGGCCACAAUGUGUACAUGCAAAAUGGAGGGCUGUGUUGUCUAAAGUACAUGCCGGCCAUUGUUAUGGUGCUGCCUUCUCACAAAUGUUCAUGUAGUAGGAUUCACAACGCCAUUUUCAGCUCACUAACGUGUUGCGGCAGUCUGUCGCGGUCACUGUGUUCAGCACAUGAAGUUAGCGAGAGCGGCAACUGUCGGCCUGCAGUCGUGUAGUCUUGCAGCUGUCAAAAUAACUGUGUCCGUAAGAACGUGUGUAUUUUAAUAUUUAACAGAUGUCGUUUGCAGUCUGUCGCGAUCAUUGUGUUCAGCACAUGAUGCAAAUCGAAGCAAAUGUUCUAUGUGAAUUAGUCAUAAAAGUUUAUUGGUUUGUAUUAAAAUUGUACAUGAAAAAUUUGGAUUUGAGCUGAUAGUAAAGGGUUACAAAUGACAGAACCAGUACGAGGAGAAGCAUCCGAAUCCGAUGAAGAAACUCAUAUCAAAAUAUUCGCAUCCGAAGUUCCUGGUGAAGCCACCGAGUCAGAUGAAG